CAUUUACAUUUAUGAAUAAAAAAAUUCCAUACAUAUUGAGUAAAUUAACAAUAUGCCACAUUUUGAAGUCGACUGUAUUCUCAUAAAAAAUAAGACAUCUUUUUUUUUAAAUUCCAAUGCAAUAUUCAUACUCUGCCUAACAAAAAAGAAAGGAUCACACCAAAACUAUUGUGUAUAAAUGCAGUUAUAACAUAAAUGAAAAAUACUAUCUUCUUUAUCGUUACAGAAAGCACAUUUUAAGACAACAUCUUUACAAAAAUUACCUGUUUUACAGGAUGAAUAUAAUGAACAAUUUUAAAUGAUACCUCUUUGAUUUUAUUUGUCAUACAAAAACGUUUGAAAAUCUUAAAUGUCUCGUUCCAGUUAACAUCUUGAAAUUGUGAGCACCAAUGGCUGAAGGAAUAUUGACAAUACAAGAUUGUUAUUUAAUUUUUUUUUCUUUUAUAUUUAUACCUUAUAAUUUAAGACUAAGAUCAAAAUUUGUAUUUUGAAUUAUACCAUUUUCUAAUAGUUUCUUAAGCUUAGACGCAUCCAUUCUUUACAGCGCUUUGUUCAUUUCCUCAACCUACCGAGUCUCUCCGGAGGAGUCGACUCAGUGUUUGUUCGAUUCGGUCUGUGUUUGUCUGCGCGUUGUCAGCCAUGUUAGCGCCCUCCUCCAUCUCGACCACUGCUAACUUUAGGACAUGCUUGCUCCAGGCCGGCUGUGAGGACGAAGAGCUUUAAUUCUUUCUAUCCGCUUGAAAGAACAUUACCAAAUUUACACAAUGGAGGCCGUCAAGGCGUUUAACGGCGAGUUGUACUCAUUGAAUGAAUACAAGCCACCUAUCUCCAAAGCCAAGAUGACCCAGAUUACAAAGUCAGCAAUUAAAGCUAUAAAGUUCUACAAACAUGUUGUCCAAAGUGUGGAGAAAUUCAUUCAAAAGUGCAAACCCGAGUACAAAGUUCCUGGUCUGUAUGUCAUCGACUCCAUUGUACGGCAGUCCCGUCACCAGUUUGGUCAAGAGAAAGAUGUUUUCGCUCCACGCUUCAGUAAGAACAUCAUUGGCACGUUCCAAAAUCUCUACCGCUGCCCGACAGACGACAAGAGCAAGAUUGUCAGAGUGCUCAACUUAUGGCAGAAAAACAACGUCUUCAAGAGCGACAUCAUUCAGCCUCUACUGGAUAUGGCAGCAGGUCUUCCACCGCCCAGCGUUACGCCCGUCUCUGCCAGUAGUGUCAUACCCAUGAACAGCACUACUCCUGGAACUCCUGCAACUCCAGCCACCCCUGCCAAUAUAGUGCAGAGUCUUCCAGACUGGGCGUCUCAGAUCUCCAACACAGACACUGUGGCUGCAGUUGCCCAGAUCUUGCAGAGUCCUCAGGGCCAGCAGUUGCAGCAGCUGGUUCAGAGCCUGCAGAUGCAGCAGCAGAAGCCUCAGCCCUCUCUGCUGCAGGCGCUGGAUGCUGGUUUGGUGGUGCAGCUUCAGGCUUUGACUGCACAACUCACUGCAGCUGCAACAGCCAACAAACUCAACCCACUGGAACAGAGAGUUUCCUCCUUCAACAAGAAGCUGCUGGGUCAGUUUGAUUUCGGGAAUGAGUCUGAACACAGCGAGGAUUCGAAGAAAGAUUCUGCGUCCUCUCAGAUACCUGUGCUGUCAGAUUCCAUCAACAGCUCAAUAUUUCAUCAGCUGGCGGAGCAUCUUCAGCAGCAAAACCUCGAGCAGUUUCAGAAACAGCUAAUGGAGCACCAACAGCAUCAACAGAAGUCUAUGAGCAUGGAGAGCCAGGACGCUAUUUUUGGCACUGAAAAUUCUGCCCCAUCUGGCCAGAGCAGCGCCCCGUCACAGCACCAAGUUCAAGAAUCAAAAAUGGAUGAUUCCAUGGACAACCAACAACAGGACAUGGAUAUUGAUGAGGGACAGGAUGUGGUCGAUGAGGAGCUCUUUGAGACGGAUGAGAAGAAAACCAGCAGCACCCGUUCAAGGACGCGCUCAAGAUCCCGCUCUAGGUCACCUAAGAGGAGGAGGUCAAGAUCACGCUCUGGGUCUCGGAAGCGGAAACACAGAAAACGCUCAAGGUCUCGGUCAAGGGACCGAAAGAGGAAGUCCUCCCGUUCUUAUUCCAGUGAGCGAAGAGCACGGGAGAGAGAAAAAGACCGGCAGAAAAAAGGGCUUCCUCCAAUCCGCUCGAGGGUUCUCAGUGUUUGCAGCACUACUCUAUGGGUUGGUCAAGUGGACAAGAAAGCCACCCAACAGGAUCUCACAAACCUCUUCGAAGAGUUUGGCCAGAUUGAAUCUAUCAAUAUGAUUCCUCCCAGAGGCUGCGCUUACAUCUGUAUGGUCCAUCGUCAGGACGCAUAUCGGGCUCUUCAAAAGCUGAGCACCGGCUCUUACAAAAUUGGUUCAAAGGUCAUCAAGAUUGCUUGGGCUCUGAAUAAAGGAGUCAAACAGGAGUACAAGCAGUUCUGGGAUGUGGACCUCGGGGUCACUUAUAUCCCGUGGGAGAAGGUGAAACUGGAUGACCUGGAUGACUUUGCUGAGGGAGGCAUGAUUGACCAGGAGACGGUCAACAACGAUUGGGAAUCACAAAGGAAUACGGAGACAGCCAAAGAGACUCCGAGUCAGCCAGUUAAAGCUGAAGCAAGUACAGCCAGCAGCACAGCCAGUGAGGCCUUCACACAGCCGGUCACUAUGAUGCCCAUGCAGAUUCCAGUGCCACAGACAGUCCCUGCUGUUGGCCUCGUUCCUCCAUCCUUCCCUGUCACCAUGGCAAUGCCCCCACCAGGCUUCGGUCCCCCUCCACCUUUUCUAAGGGCAGGGUUUAAUGCCUCCCAGCCUCCCCCAGGUUUCAUGGCCACACCAGGAGUAGGGCCGUCAGCAGUGGGGGCAGUCACCAGUCUCGCUUCAGCUCAGAACUCUUUAGUACAGCCUGCGAUGCCAAACACUCAAGACAGCAGCAAGGAUUCUCCGUUUGGUGCCAUGAUGCCUCCCACCGGUACUAUUCCUGGGAGCUUUAUUCCAUCAGCAAUGCCUGGGGCACAAGUCUUUAACCCUGUCGGAGCACAGCAUCAGCAGAGCAGCACAGACAAAACACCUCAGUCUGCAGACGCUAUGGAGGCAUCUUCUGAAAUAACACUACAGGGAAUGCAGAACGCAGUGCGCAGUGGAAUGGGUCUGCUGGGUAUGCAUCCUUCUGCAUCUCUGACGCAUCCUCUCGCCGGGCAGAGGAUGACAGGGCUGCUUCCAUUGGAACUUCGUCCAAACCUGCUCCAGGGGCCUGGCGGCCGCUUCCCCCUACUUAUGCAGCCAGGCCUUGCUCAUCAGACCAACAACGUCCUGGAUGCUUCACUUCAAGCCCAAGCCCGUCUCCGGGCUCCGUUUUCUCAAAUGGAGCAGUUCAAUCGUACGGAGGGUACUUUUAUGAGGGCACCCAAUCCCCCACCUGCUGUAAAUGACAGUCUGAUCAAGCCUAAUAAUGAGGCGCCACCCAGGUCUGAUGUAGUCACCCAACAAGAGGGAGAUCAGGAUUAUCGCUUUCCACCACCAGAGAAGCAAAGUACGGGGUUGCUGAAGACUCCUCCGCUGGAGAUGCGAACAGAGCCUGGACCCGCCAGACCACCUCUGCUAGAAAGACCUCCGAGGGCAGUCAUGCAAGCCGAGAGUCGAGAGGGUAGGAGAGAAAAUGUGUCUGCUGGUUUCAGAGCAGAAAGUCGUUGGGGUCCACCCAGGGGGGACUUUGAUGAGCGAGACAUGAGGGGGAUGUCUGGUGGUUCAGCGAAGGGUUUCCAGGAAGAGCGGCCAAAUAAUAACUUUCAGAAUCGAUUUGAGGGCCGCAGCGGAGGUUCAUCAGGACCCACUUGGAAUCGUGGAACUGGACCUUCUUUUAACGCCAACAUGAACCAAGAUUACGAUGAUCGCCGCAGACCUUGGGAAAGGCAGAAGGACAGGGAUGACAGGGAUAUGGACUUUAGGGGUGAAAUGAAUGGCAAUCGUCAUAGCCGGGAGCGCGACAGAGACCGUGAAAGGGAGAGGGACCGGAAUCGGGAGCGCGAACGUGGCAGAGAUCGGAAUCGUGAGCGGGACAGGGAAAGGGAGAACGAGAAGGAUAAAGAGCGGGAACGUUGGACUCCUCUUUCUUCACAGUCUCAACCGCUGCUUCCUCAAGCCAAGCCUCAACCGCUACUUCCUUUACCGACCCCCUUGCUUCCUCGGCCUCCAGCACAAGAACCAGUGCAAACGAACUCGCAGUCUUCACCGGUCCUCCACCCUGAUCCUCAACCCCAAUCAACAGAACCAGCUGCGGAACCACAAGCCGAGGUCAAGCCAGAGCCGCAGUCUCUCAGCCCACCUGAAGAGACGACAAGUAGUCAAGAGGACACUGCUGCUUCAUGCGUCAACGGAAUGGAGACUGAUUCCAAACCUCAGUCGGAACCUGCAUCCCAGACUGCUACAGAGCCCUCUAGUAGCCCCUAUCCAUCUCUGACCUCCACUCCCGCCUGCUUCGAGAACGAGCCCCCGAACGGAGAGAACCCCCCAGAAAUGUCUGUUUCCGCAUCUGUGGACGCAGACGCUGAACAGACUGGGCCAAAGGUGAACGCUGAGACUGAACCUGAGCUUGAGAAAAGUGACACUGAGGAAACAUAAUCAUCACUCAGUAGGUAAAGAUCAUUUUGUAUAGUCAUCUCUGUAAUGGUUUUGAAAGCUCUCACAGGAAUCCCCUUCAGUUCAGUUGUGCUCAGUUUUAGGAUGUUCUAGACACCUUAACGAAUGAUUCUUACCUCUCAAGCUUCAAAUGUACGUUCGUUCUAGGCGGCUCACGCUAGAGGAUCUAAAUG
ensembl:lincRNA